AAUGCACCAAAUCGUUGUUCGUCUUCACGCAGGUGUUUUUCAAUCAGCUGAUGACCGCUGAUUGCUUCCUCCUCCUCUCCUAAUUUAAGCUUCCUCCAGGCAAAAGUCCCGUGAUGUUACUUUGAAGAGAAGCUGCACGAGCCGUGGAACGAAAAAAAAAAAGAAGCGAAAAACGUGUCGCUGCUUAACUACUGAAACUGUUCCGGGAGGAGGGAACUUGUGGCGGUAAUGCACCAACCGCCCUAAAACCUCAAAAAAGAAAGAGGGAACUUUAAAAAAAAAAGAAGCGAAAAAAGGAAAACUACCGCGGCGUGACGUCAGACGCCGAAAAGGUGGUCGGAUGCUGUAUACAAAUGCAGCAAGGCGCUCCAGGAUGGCGUGUUCGACCUGGUCCAGAUUGGUGGCCCGUCCAGAAUGGAACAACCUGCUUCCUGCUCACGGAGACCUGGUCGGACCCGCCAUAUACAAAAGCCUGAGGCUGUCAAAAAAAGAUUGAUCUCCAUGAAGAUAUUCAAAUAGUAGGUGUCCUGAUUUAAUUCUGGGUGGCCGCUGUGUCCCCACUCUUUCUUGGCCGCCGUGCCUACAUCUCUCUGCAUUGUCCAACAUGGCCACGUUCUUUCUAUUCUCCUGCUUUCCAUCUGUCAAAUAGCUGACGGUUGUACAUGGAGCAUUUGCCACAGGUUGGUUUUGUAUGUUCCUGUCCACUUUAUUGGGUGGUCUGAUCUGGUCCUUGUUAGUUAUAUUUUUGGGGAACUGCUGAGCGAGUGAUUUGAAAGAAUGAGGUGACUGAUGGAGUGUUUAAAAUUCUCUCUCUGAAUGAACGGGUUGUGUGUGACUGAGAUGCCUGGAUUGAAUAGUUAAGAUGGUCUGAGAAUAUGAUUAUGUUCAGCAGUUCACAUUAAAGUAGAUAUGGUGUCUUGAAGGGCUUAGAUGCUUGAUAAGUUAUAAUGCACUAACAUUUCCUUUUUAGGUCCGUCUACAAAGGGUGAGUCCAUAUUUUUUUAUUCCUUCUCUGGGGGCUACGUUCUUGGCCUCCAUGUGUGGUAGGGUUUGCAGAGUAGGGGAAUAAACAAAAGAAAACUUGUGUGUUGUGUUUUUGUGAAAGUGAAGGUACUUAGGUGUUGGCAACUGACUUGCUAGUCUAGCUGCCCACAGCUAACUACCAAGUCACACUGAUAAUUUACA